GCUGUGAUCGUAUAGUGGUUAGUACUUCACGUUAUGGCCGUGACAACCCAGGUUCGAAUCCUGGUCACAGCA
rnacentral:tRNA from 1 species